rnacentral:lncRNA from 1 species
CCCUCGAGGGGGGACUCGAGGAUUCGGAGGAGUCGCCGCCGCCCCCGCCCGACUCCUCCUCAAGACGCCGCCCCCGCCACCCAACUCCUCAAGACGCUGCCGCCCGCCGCCUCUACGCCGACGUAUCUCCUCCGGCAUACCCCUGGUUGUAAGUCCUCACCUCGCCUCGCCUCCCCUCACCCCUUUUCCUCUCGCCAUCUAGGUUUCUUCCACCCCCCGGCCAUGGCUGCUGCCUCGUCCUCCGCAGCAAGCUCGCCAAGCGCGUCGUCUCUGAGGGCGACUAGGCCGUCACCAAGUCCCAUCUCCUCCUCCUCCUAGGCUGCCCUUGGCUCUGCCUAUCUCUCUCCAAGUAGUGGCAGUGAUAAUGCUCUGCUUAUCUCUCUGCAGGUAGCGUCCAGACCCAUUUGAUAUUGAUUGACAUGCCCUUUGGCCGAAUUUUAUUAGAAGUCAAUACAUAUGUACUUAAGCAGAUUUAUUAGAACCCAUGGAUGCUGUAGUUCUUCGUUCUGGAGCAGACAGUUUCUUCAGAGAUCAUUGUCUUUUCCUGAGAAGAAUUGAUGUAUUGAUGCUUUAUUCAGCUAUUCUUCGACCACUACUGUUGUUGCGUCCGCGGUCAUAAACCCAACCUAGUUAUUAUUUCUGGAAAUUGUUUAUACUAAGUAGGCUUGAACCAGAUUGCUGCUGGUACUAAGUACAUUGUUACUUGUUCUUGUCUGUCUGAAACAAAACUGGAAGGGUACUUAGUACUUGCUUGUUUUUCCCUACAUAGUACAGCUUAAUUACACCGCUAGCUAGCUGGUGACUCUACAAGAAAGAAGCAACCACACACACACAAAAGUUCGACCGACAAACUUAAAGCUGCUGGUAUCGGUUGUUGCUCACACCUCAGGUUGCAAGGUGGACGGGCCAUCCCGCAACAACGCUGCGCUGACCCACAAAAAAUCCCACAAAGAUGCUGCUGGGCUGACCGCAUUUUCUUUGUUACUGUUUCAUGCCAAAUUAAUUAGUUAGUUACUGUUUCAGCUACAUAUAUAGUAUCGUUGUCUGUAUGAUCAAGUAGCACUAGUACCAGUUCAUCUCUGUAUGAUUAGUGCCAUGAUGGAUUCAUAAGAUGAUACAUGUGAUUUAUCUAGUUCAUCUUUGUAUGAAUUAGCACUGAUUGUUUCUUUGUUGUACAUAUAUGAUUUAUCUAGUUCAUAUUUGUUUUCGGACAACCAACUCGCUAGUUGUUUCAUUUGUUGGUUGGUUGAUGUAAGAACUGAAGGUGUUGCUUUUGCAAACUGAUUAUCUAUCCAGAAUGUUGCAGUUGUGGUACUACAUGAUCUUACUAAUGCUUUUCUACUCGAUGUGGUUGGUAGUUUCUUGGCGGUAUCACGCAGAUUGGUUCUUAUUUAUGGCAUCUAUUUUUUGUAUCAUAUAUACAUAUAUUAAUUAAUUCACUUCUGUCGUCUUCAUCAUCUAACAAUGUAGUGUGUGUGUGUUGAAAUGCAGAUGGCAGAGAACCGUGAGAUCUUUCUCAAUUCUGCCACUGAAGAUGAAGAGAGUGCUGCCAUGUUUCUUCAGAGCGAAAUGGCAGAGUUGCCUUGAGGUAUGUUCUUGCUCCUGUGAUCCAUUUUCAUUCUGCACUUGCCUCAAGCUAAUCUAAGUGACACUGUUCAUAUGAAUCCAUUGUAAGUUGUGGGAACACACUCUUCAUAUGGAGGAAAUAGUAAUGGUUGCUUGAUUUAUUUCAUGCCGGUAUAUAUCAUGCUCAAUUCUUAUCAUGAUCAUGCCUCCUUAUUUUUGUUGAUUAUAUCUGUUUAUUUCAGUAAAUCUCACGAUUUAUGUCUGUAUAUAACAAAUGAUUCUUUAGUAAAUAUGGAUACCAAACUGAAUCUUAUUUUUGUGAAUUGUCACACUAGUAUUAUGUGUAGUUUUGGGAUGGCAGUACCAUAUUGAAACUGUGUACCUAAGCCAUCAUCACUUCAGAAGUUCUAGCACUCCUGUUAGCUGUGGCACUUUUGGGAUGGCUCCAUAUUUUUUAUUUGUUCAGGUUUUUUUCCACAUCUAACCCUUGGACCAAUUCAUCUGUUUUUUUAUAGGGACCUGACCUCGCGGAAGACGGAUGACCACUUUGCUGCCACAAGUCGCCUCCACACCGUGUAGCCCGCAAACAUGUCUCGGAGCAUUUGCCAAUCAAAUUUUAUGUUGCAAUGAACCGUUGACUUUCGUUGAUCGAACAUCUUGUAUUUUUCAUUUGGACAGUGGCAUGUAUGCAUGUAACAUUUUCAUUUGAACCGUUGAUAGUCCUUGCAACAGAUUAUAUGAGCCUUUGUGUUAUUUUGCAUAAUCUAGUUGCACCAUUGUUGCAAGUACAUUUCUUCUAUGAGCUUUUGAAGCUUUUGAAAUUGUAAAAAAUUGCAUCUUUAAUUAUAGUAUACUAAUUUUGUAAAUCCUCUGUAUCAAUCCCUGUGUACCAAAUAGAAGGGGGUAUGUGAGGGGUUUGGUGAUUGGGAUGAUUUGAG